rnacentral:lncRNA from 1 species
UCCAUCUUCUCUUGUACUCCCACCUCUACACUUGUGGUACCCAACUCGGGAUGAGUCAGGCGAGAUGAACGGGUUAAGGUGGUGAGUUUUGGGCGACACGAAACGAGUCAACUCAAUAAACUUGUUUUUUACCAGGUCAAAUAACUCAAUAUGGCGAUAACUCGAGGUGGGUCUCCGAGUCGCCACUGCUAUGAAUUUAUUAUUACCUGGUGAAGUGGCUGGAGUGAACGCGUGGAGUCCAGGUGGUGUGACUCGUUGAAUCGACACUGACUCAGUCGAAACCAGUCCAGUUUGGGGCAGAAUCACUUUGUACACACUGAUCCAGUCAUCUUCUUCGCUUUUUCU